rnacentral:rRNA from 1 species
UACGAAGGGGGCUAGCGUUGCUCGGAAUCACUGGGCGUAAAGGGUGCGUAGGCGGGUCUUUAAGUCAGGGGUGAAAUCCUGGAGCUCAACUCCAGAACUGCCUUCGAUACUGGGAAUCUCGAGUCCGGGAGAGGUGAGUGGAACUGCGAGUGUAGAGGUGAAAUUCGUAGAUAUUCGCAAGAACACCAGUGGCGAAGGCGGCUCACUGGCCCGGUACUGACGCUGAGGUGCGAAAGCGUGGGGAGCAAACAGG